rnacentral:rRNA from 1 species
CCUACGGGAGGCAGCAGUAGGGAAUGUUGCGCAAUGGGGGAAACCCUGACGCAGCAACGCCGCGUGAAUGAUGAAGGCCUUCGGGGUGUAAAGAUCUGUCAGAGGGGACGAAACCUGACGGUACCCACAGAGGAAGCACCGGCUAACUCCGUGCCAGCAGCCGCGGUAAUACGGGGGGUGCAAGCGUUGUCCGGAAUCAUUGGGCGUAAAGAGUUCGUAGGUGGCACGUUAAGUCUGGUGGUAAAGGCGGAAGCUCAACUUCCGUAGGGCACUGGAUACUGGCGAGCUAGAGUGCGGUAGAGGUAAAGGGAAUUCCUAGUGUAGCGGUGAAAUGCAUAGAUAUCACGCAGAACACCGAUUGCGAAGGCAUCUCACGAAUCCGCGAUUGACGCUGAUGCACGAAAGCGUGGGUAUCAAACAGGAUUAGAUACCCUUGUAGUC